UACGAAGGGGGCUAGCGUUGUUCGGAAUUACUGGGCGUAAAGCGUGCGCAGGCGGUGAUGUAAGACCGAUGUGAAAUCCCCGGGCUUAACCUGGGAACUGCAUUGGUGACUGCAUCGCUCGAGUAUGGCAGAGGGGGGUAGAAUUCCACGUGUAGCAGUGAAAUGCGUAGAGAUGUGGAGGAAUACCGAUGGCGAAGGCAGCCCCCUGGGUCAAUACUGACGCUCAUGCACGAAAGCGUGGGGAGCAAACAGG
rnacentral:rRNA from 1 species